UACGUAGGGGGCAAGCGUUGUCCGGAAUCAUUGGGCGUAAAGCGCGCGUAGGCGGCCCGGUAAGUCCGCUGUAAAAGUCCAGGGCUCAACCCUGGAAAGCCGGUGGAUACUGUCGGGCUAGAGUCCGGAAGAGGCGAGUGGAAUUCCUGGUGUAGCAGUGAAAUGCGUAGAUAUCGUAAGGAAGACCAGUGGCGAAGGCGGGUCUCUGGACAGUUCCUGACACUGAGACACGAAGGCCAGGGAAGCAAACGGG
rnacentral:rRNA from 1 species